UGGGGAAUUUGGACAAUGGGCGAAGCUGAUCCAGCAAUGCCGCGUGUGUGAAGAAGGCCUUCGGGUUGUAAAGCACUUUUGUCCGGAAAGAAAUCCUUGGCUCUAAUACAGUCGGGGGAUGACGGUACCGGAAGAAUAAGCACCGGCUAACUACGUGCCAGCAGCCGCGGUAAUACGUAGGGUGCAAGCGUUAAUCGGAAUUACUGGGCGUAAAGCGUGCGCAGGCGGUUUGCUAAGACCGAUGUGAAAUCCCCGGGCUCAACCUGGGAACUGCAUUGGUGACUGGCAGGCUAGAGUAUGGCAGAGGGGGGUAGAAUUCCACGUGUAGCAGUGAAAUGCGUAGAGAUGUGGAGGAAUACCGAUGGCGAAGGCAGCCCCCUGGGCCAAUACUGACGCUCAUGCACGAAAGCGUGGGGAGCAAACAGGAUUAGAUACCCUGGUAGUCCACGCCCUAAAACGAUGUCAACUAGUUGUUGGGGAUUCAUUUCCUUAGUAACGUAGCUAACGCGUGAAGUUGACCGCCUGGGGAGUACGUCGCAAGAUUAAAACU
rnacentral:rRNA from 1 species